rnacentral:snoRNA from 1 species
GAUGGCAGUGAUUUGACAUUUACCCGCGCUUCUGAUUUAAACCGUGAAGUUAAGGGAAAAAAUAAUGGUUGAAUUUCUUAAUAUGAGCCUUC